CUCGCAUCGCAACGUGCGGAGAUGCAGCAACGUCUCGACGAGUCGACGGCGCCGCGACGGGGAGCGGCCGUCUUCGCAUCUCUCCCCCAUUCAAAUUCCAAUACUCCAAAGCACCGUUAAUACUACUACUUCUCUCACGAAUCCCCAAUCCCUAAAAUCCCCGUACGCCGCCCGCUUCUCUCCUCCGAUUCCUCCGCCGCCUUCGCGCCGCCGCCCUCGCCUCUCUUGCGCCUCCACCGGCCACCGCCGCGGCGUCCGAUGGAGAAGCCGGAGUGGAGCAUGGACGACUUCGAGAUCGGCAAGUACAUCGGCGAGGGCAAGUUCGGGAAGGUCUACCUCGCCCGCGAGAAGCAGAGCGGCUACGUGGUGGCGCUCAAGGUGACAUUCAAGGCGAAGCUGGACAAGUACAGGUUCCACGCGCACCUGCGGCGGGAGAUCGAGAUCCAGCACGGCCUCGACCACCCCAACGUGCUCCGUCUCUUCGCCUGGUUCCACGACGCCGAGCGCGUCGUCCUCGUGCUCGAGUACGCCGCCCGUGGGGAGCUUUACAAGCUCCUCCGCACCGUCCGCCGCUUCUCUGAGCGCACCGCUGCUACUUAUGUUGCCAGCCUUGCCGGUGCACUAGCAUACUGUCAUAAGAAGCAAGUUAUCCAUCGGGACAUCAAGCCAGAGAAUUUACUCCUUGAUAUUGAGGGCCGACUUAAAAUUGCAGAUUUUGGAUGGGCGGUUAGAUCAAAUGCUAAACGACACACACUUUGUGGUACAAUUGAUUACCUGGCACCUGAAAUGAUAGAGAAAAAGGCUCAUGACCAUGCUGUUGACAACUGGACUUUAGGAAUCUUGUGCUAUGAGUUCUUAUAUGGGUCACCACCUUUUGAAGCAGCAGAACAGGAUGAUACAUUGAGGAGGAUAGUUAAAGUGGAUUUGUCGUUCCCCUCAACUCCUUAUGUUUCUGCAGAUGCUAAGGAUCUCAUUUGCAAGGUAAAAUUUGUGGUAUUGAUUAUACCUAUUGUAUAUGUUACACUAAAAUGGGUUGAACUUUUGAGUUUUGAGCUUCGAGUUCGUAUGCAGCUUUUGGUGAAGGAUUCAAACAAGAGACUUUCUCUUGAUGACAUAAUGAAACAUCCAUGGAUUGUGAAGAAUGCAGACCCAUCAGGGAGUUGUAGUGACCAAAAGGCUCGCACAUAAUACCUUUAAGAAACAAGUGGCAGGUUAAGGGCUUGUCCUGUAAGAUUUAGGUGCUGUGAGAAGUUUUGAAAUUAGACCAAAGUGUAGUCUGAUGCAGCAUACGAGGAGUUACUCCGUGUCAUUGAGGGACCUGGUGAAGGCUGGUGUAGUAUUUUGGCGAAUGCGUUGUUUGCCAGUGGCCCGUAUUUUUUUAGCUAAUUAAGUAAUUAUGGAUGUCUAUAUGUAUCCGCUAAUCCCACCUCACUGGGAAGCCCCAAGCUACCUAACUACACUGGCUAAUGCAUGACGUGAAGUCCUACCAUGUUUAUGUUUGCUGUUGUCCGCUCCUAAAGGAAGUUGGCUGGUGUAGCCGUACCAGUUUAUGACCCUAAUCCUCAUCAGUCAUCGGUGAUAGCAUCUUCAUUACCCUAAGUGCCAUGUUGUUGUUGUGGAUAAAGUUACUUAACGGAAAUAUAAGUAUACCAA